CUGGUGGGGAAAGAGGCUGUGACCCCCCUUUCCUUCCCCUCCACUCUUUUUUCCUUCCCUCUCCCCUUGGUGUGGAUUUGCUGACCAGGGACCGUUAGGAGCUGGCAGCAUGAAUUACAUUGAAUGGAGAUGCGUUUCAAAGGGCCCACCUCCUUUCUUAAGGGACUGGGAGGCCAGGCACUCAGAAGAACCUUGGGAACAGUUGGCUGGCAAAGGAGUCCUCCUUUUGCGCACAAGAGAGAUUGAGAAAGGGAGAGGCUCUGGCAAUAGGGUGGACCCCAGCAGGUUAAAGGAUGCUUCUGCCCCCAAACCCAAGUUCAAUGAAAAUGUCUGAACAAGCUAAUGAAUAUCAAAUUAUCCUGUGGUUGUUUUUUUUCUAAAGGGGGUGAGACAAAAGGGGACCUUGUCGCUUUUGUGGUGCCAGCCUGUAUCAAAUAUUGCCACCUGCUGGCUACUGUGCUGUAAGACAUAGGCCAGCUUUUGUGUGCCAAGAUGCGCCUGCAUUGACGAUUUUUCCAGAGCACACAUGCUGUUUUGAGGCUGCCUUUUUGGAAUAAUGCACAUUUUCUUAUGUCAGAGCCUUUGUCAUCUUCUGUGCAAAUAAAGUCCUAAAGAAAUUA